CACGUAGGGCGCAAGCGUUGUCCGGAAUCAUUGGGCGUAAAGAGCUCGUAGGCGGUUUGUCACGUCUGCUGUGAAAACUCGGGGCUUAACCCCGAGCUUGCAGUGGAUACGGGCAGACUAGAGGUAGGUAGGGGAGAAUGGAAUUCCCGGGUGUAGCGGUGAAAUGCGCAGAUAUCAGGAAGAACACCCGUGGCGAAGGCGGCUCUCUGGAACGCAACUGACGCUGAGACGCGAAAGCGUGGGGAGCAAACAGG
rnacentral:rRNA from 1 species